rnacentral:rRNA from 1 species
UAGCCUACGGGGGGCAGCAGUGAGGAAUAUUGGUCAAUGGGCGGAAGCCUGAACCAGCCAAGUCGCGUGAGGGAUUAAGGCCCUGCGGGUCGUAAACCUCUUUUGCCGGGGAGCAGUGGUCCGGACGCGUCCGGACCGGGAGAGUACCCGGAGAAAAAGCAUCGGCUAACUCCAUGCCAGCAGCCGCGGUAAUACGGAGGAUGCGAGCGUUAUCCGGAUUUAUUGGGUUUAAAGGGUGCGCAGGCGGUCUGUUAAGUCAGCGGUCAAAGCCCGGGGCUCAACCCCGGCCCGCCGUUGAAACUUGG